GCCGCGUGUGUGAAGUAAGGCCUUCGGGUUGUAAAGCACUUUCAGUAGGGAGGAAGGUAGUGUAGUUAACACCUGCACUAUUUGACGUUACCUACAGAAGAAGCACCGGCUAACUCCGUGCCAGCAGCCGCGGUAAUACGGAGGGUGCGAGCGUUAAUCGGAAUUACUGGGCGUAAAGCGCAUGCAGGCGGCCUGUUAAGUCAGAUGUGAAAGCCCGGGGCUUAACCUCGGAAUUGCAUUUGAAACUGGCAGGCUAGAGUCUUGUAGAGGGGGUAGAAUUUCAGGUGUAGCGGUGAAAUGCGUAGAGAUCUGAAGGAAUACCAGUGGCGAAGGCGGCCCCCUGGACAAAGACUGACGCUCAGAUGCGAAAGCGUGGGGAGCAAACAGGAUUAGAUACCCUGGUAG
rnacentral:rRNA from 1 species